AGCUACUAAGAGCGAAUGGUGGAUGCCUUGACUGGUAAAGGCGAUGAAGGACGUACUAGACUGCGAUAAGCUACGGGGAGCUGUCAAGAAGCUUUGAUCCGUAGAUUUCCGAAUGGGGCAACCCAAUGUAUAGAGAUAUACAUUACCUAUAUAGGAGCGAACGAGGGGAAUUGAAACAUCUUAGUACCCUCAGGAAAAGAAAUCAAUAGAGAUUGCGUCAGUAGCGGCGAGCGAAAGCGUAAGAGGGCAAACCCAGUGCUUGCACUGGGGGUUGUAGGACUGCAAUGUGCAAGAGGUGAGUUUAGCAGAACAUUCUGGAAAGUAUAGCCAUAGAGGGUGAUAGUCCCGUAUGCGAAAAACAAACCUUAGCUAGCAGUAUCCUGAGUAGGGCGGGACACGAGAAAUCCUGUCUGAAGCUGGGUCGACCACGAUCCAACCCUAAAUACUAAUACCAGAUCGAUAGUGCACAAGUACCGUGAGGGAAAGGUGAAAAGAACUGAGGUGAUCAGAGUGAAAUAGAACCUGAAACCAUUUGCUUACAAUCAUUCAGAGCACUAUGUAGCAAUACAGUGUGAUGGACUGCCUUUUGCAUAAUGAGCCUGCGAGUUGUGGUGUCUGGCAAGGUUAAGCAAACGCGAAGCCGUAGCGAAAGCGAGUCUGAAUAGGGCGCUUAGUCAGAUGCUGCAGACCCGAAACGAAGUGAUCUAUCCAUGAGCAAGUUGAAGCUAGUGUAAGAACUAGUGGAGGACUGAACCCAUAGGCGUUGAAAAGCCCCGGGAUGACUUGUGGAUAGGGGUGAAAGGCCAAUCAAACUUCGUGAUAGCUGGUUCUCUCCGAAAUAUAUUUAGGUAUAGCGUUGUGUCGUAAUAUAAGGGGGUAGAGCACUGAAUGGGCUAGGGCAUACACCAAUGUACCAAACCCUAUCAAACUCCGAAUACCUUAUAUGUAAUCACAGCAGUCAGGCGGCGAGUGAUAAAAUCCGUCGUCAAGAGGGAAACAACCCAGACUACCAGCUAAGGUCCCUAAAUCUUACUUAAGUGGAAAACGAUGUGAAGUUACUUAAACAACCAGGAGGUUGGCUUAGAAGCAGCCAUCCUUUAAAGAAAGCGUAAUAGCUCACUGGUCUAGUGAUUUUGCGCGGAAAAUAUAACGGGGCUAAAGUAAGUACCGAAGCUGUAGACUUG
rnacentral:rRNA from 2 species